UACAGAGGGGGCAAGUGUUGUUCGGAAUUACUGGGCGUAAAGGGCGCGUAGGCGGCCCGCUAAGUCGAACGUGAAAUCCCCGAGCUCAACUCGGGAACUGCGUCCGAUACUGGCGGGCUUGAAUCCGGGAGAGGGAUGCGGAAUUCCUGGUGUAGCGGUGAAAUGCGCAGAUAUCAGGAGGAACACCGGUGGCGAAGGCGGCUUGCUGGGCCUUACCUGACGCUGAGGAGCGAAAGCGUGGGGAGCGAACAGG
rnacentral:rRNA from 1 species